UACAGAGGUGGCAAGCGUUGUUCGGAAUUACUGGGCGUAAAGGGCGCGUAGGCGGCCAUCUAAGUCAGACGUGAAAUCCCCCGGCUUAGCCUGGGAACUGCGUCUGAUACUGGACGGCUUGAGUAUGGGAGAGGGAUGUAGAAUUCCAGGUGUAGCGGUGAAAUGCGUAGAUAUCUGGAGGAAUACCGGUGGCGAAGGCGGCAUCCUGGACCAUUCCUGACACUGAGGCACGAAGGCCAGGGGAGCAAACGGG
rnacentral:rRNA from 1 species